rnacentral:sRNA from 1 species
GCCAGGCAUGGUGGCUCAGGCCUGUAAUCCCAGUUAUUCAGGUGGCUGAGGCAGGAGGAUCACAGAUUCCAGCCUAGCCUGAGUGACUUCGUGAGACCCUGCCUCAA